AAGAGCUCAGAUUUGAAAUCGUGUUUCGGCACGAGUUGUAGAGUGUAGGCGGGAGUCUCUGUGGAGCGCGGUGUCCAAGUCCCUUGGAACAGGGUGCCUGAGAGGGUGAGAGCCCCGUAGGGUGCUGCGCGAAGCUUUUGAGGCCCUGCUGACGAGUCGAGUUGUUUGGGAAUGCAGCUCCAAGCGGGUGGUAAAUUCCAUCUAAGGCUAAAUAUUGGCGAGAGACCGAUAGCGAACAAGUACUGUGAAGGAAAGAUGAAAAGCACUUUGAAAAGAGAGUGAAACAGCACGUGAAAUUGUUGAAAGGGAAGGGUAUUGGGCUCGACAUGGGGGGUGCGCACCGCUGUCUCUUGUAGGCGGCGCUCUGGGCGCCCUCUGGGCCAGCAUCGGUUCCUGCUGCGGGAGAAGGGGCUCCGGAAAGUGGCUCUUCGGAGUGUUAUAGUCGGGGCCAGAUGCCGCGUGUGGGGACCGAGGACUGCGGCUUCUGUCUCGGAUGCUGGCAUAACGGCGCAAUACCGCCCGUCUUGAAACACGGACC
rnacentral:rRNA from 1 species